UUUUUAUAACAAAUUCUCACCAAUGCAUCAUACACAUAAUUCAUAAACAACGUUUGUCUUAAACCAAUUUAAUAGAGGAUAGUGUUGGAUUCUAGAAACUUAAGAAUUUGAUGGUGGAGCUCCUUACGUAUUCCUCACCCUCAAUUAUUUAUUAUAUAAAUAUCAAUUUAGGAGAAUAUAAAUAUCAAUUUUUAAGAGAAUAACUUACUCAAAUCAUUAAGUAAUCUACGACUAUUAUACACUCAUACUUUGAGUUUGGAUUACAAAAAAAAAAUCUUCGAGUAUGAGAAAACUAUUAUAAUGGUUUUAUUGAAAAAUCAUGUAAUAUUAAAAUAAAUUUAGUAAUAGUACAAUUAAAUAUGUAAAUAGAAUAAUA
rnacentral:sRNA from 1 species